rnacentral:rRNA from 1 species
AAAAGCCCCGUAGGCGAAAUCGACAACACACCUAUGAGUAUCCUGAGUACGGCGGAACACGCGAAAUUCCGUCGGAAUCCGGGAGGACCAUCUCCCAAGGCUAAAUACUCUCUAGUGACCGAUAGUGAACCAGUACCGUGAGGGAAAGGUGAAAAGCACCCCGGAAGGGGAGUGAAAUAGAACCUGAAACCGUGUGCCUACAAGAAGUUAGAGCCCGUUAAUGGGUGAUAGCGUGCCUUUUGCAGAAUGAACCGGCGAGUUACGAUUGCAUGCGAGGUUAAGCUGAAGAAGCGGAGCCGUAGCGAAAGCGAGUCUGAAUAGGGCGAGUGAGUAUGUAGUCGUAGACCCGAAACCAUGUGACCUACCCAUGUCCAGGUUGAAGGUGCGGUAAAACGCACUGGAGGACCGAACCCACGUACGUUGAAAAGUGCGGGGAUGAGGUGUGGGUAGCGGAGAAAUUCCAAACGAACUUGGAGAUAGCUGGUUCUCUCCGAAAUAGCUUUAGGGCUAGCCUCGGAAUUAAGAAUGAUGGAGGUAGAGCACUGUUUGGACUAGGGGCCCGUCUUGGGUUACCGAAUUCAGAUAAACUCCGAAUGCCAUUCAUUUAUGUCCGGGAGUCAGACAGUGAGUGAUAAGAUCCAUUGUCGAAAGGGAAACAGCCCAGACCACCAGCUAAGGUCCCCAAAUAUAUGUUAAGUGGAAAAGGAUGUGAGGGUGCACAAACAACUAGGAUGUUGGCUCAGAAGCAGCCAUCAUUUAAAGAGUGCGUAAUAGCUCACUAGUCGAGUGCCCUUGCGCCGAAAAUGUACCGGGGCUAAACAUAUUACCGAAGCUGUGGAUAGAACCAUUAGGUUCUAUGGUAGGAGAGCGUUCUAAGGGCGUUGAAGCUAGAUCGUAAGGACUGGUGGAGCGCUUAGAAGUGAGAAUGCCGGUAUGAGUAGCGAAAGACAGGUGAGAAUCCUGUCCACCGAAUGACUAAGGUUUCCUGGGGAAGGCUCGUCCUCCCAGGGUUAGUCGGGACCUAAGCUGAG